rnacentral:rRNA from 1 species
UACGGGGGGAGCAAGCGUUGUUCGGAUUUACUGGGCGUAAAGGGCGCGUAGGCGGUCGUGACAAGUCACUUGUGAAAUCUCCGGGCUUAACUCGGAACGGUCAAGUGAUACUGUCGGACUAGAGUACAGAAGGGGCAACUGGAAUUCUCGGUGUAGCGGUGGAAUGCGUAGAGAUCGGGAAGAACAUCAGUGGCGAAGGCGGCCUGCUGGGCUGUUGCUGACGCUGAGGCGCGACAGCGUGGGGAGCAAACAGG